rnacentral:rRNA from 1 species
CCUACGGGAGGCAGCAGUGAGGAAUAUUGGUCAAUGGUCGGGAGACUGAACCAGCCAAGCCGCGUGAGGGAUGAAGGUACAGAGUAUCGUAAACCUCUUUUGUCAGGGAACAAAGGCGGGGACGUGUCCCCGGAUGAGUGUACCUGAAGAAAAAGCAUCGGCUAACUCCGUGCCAGCAGCCGCGGUAAUACGGAGGAUGCGAGCGUUAUCCGGAUUUAUUGGGUUUAAAGGGUGCGCAGGCGGUCUGUUAAGUCAGCGGUCAAAGCACGGGGCCCAACCCCGGCCCGGCGGUGGAACUUGGCAGUCUUGAGUUGGAGAGAAGUAUGCGGAAUGCGCGGUGUAGCGGUGAAAUGCAUAGAUAUCGCGCAGAACUCCGAUUGCGAAGGCAGCAUGCCGGCUCCACACUGACGCUGAGGCACGAAAGCGUGGGUAUCGAACAGGAUUAGAUACCCUAGUAGUC